rnacentral:misc_RNA from 1 species
ACACCUCAACUCUCAUGGUUCUGCCAUGAUGAGCUUGGACUUUGGAGGUCUUGCUGGCCCCUGUGGUCAGCUCCUCUCAAAUGGAUCAGCUUGCCAGUGUUUGGUGGCAUCACAGGUGUGAUAACUAUCUACGCUUGUGGUUUUCCACCAGGUAACCUUCAGUGAUGGAGGUUCGCUGGAGCUCAUAAACGUCUCUCCUCAGCGAGGACAGCUUCUUGAAC